AUCUGCCUGAAAUGUACGAUAUCACCUAUGCUAUUGAACCUACAAUUACUUUAAACGGGAUUCUUAUAUUGCUUACUUGGAUGUCAGGCCUCUCGUCGUGGAAGGCAGAAGAGUAGCUGCGGUUGCCCACCUGGCUUUAUAGCUAGGAGUCAAACGCAUAGGCACGUCAUUUCGGGCAAUGA
rnacentral:other from 1 species